rnacentral:rRNA from 1 species
AAACCAUAAAUGGCAAGUCGGACGAGAGAACCUUCGGGUCUCUAGUGGCGAACGGGUGAGUAACACGUAGGGAACCUGCCCGCGCACCGGGAAUACGCUCUGGAAACGGAGAACAAAUCCCGAUGUACAGGAAGGAGGCAUCUUCUUUCUGUGAAACAUCCUUUCGGGGAUGGGGCGCGGAUGGACCUGCGGUGCAUUAGUUUGUUGGCGGGGUAAAGGCCCACCAAGACGAUGAUGCAUAGCCGGCCUGAGAGGGCGGACGGCCACAUUGGGACUGAGACACGGCCCAGACUCCUGCGGGAGGCAGCAGUAGGGAAUUUUCGUCAAUGGGCGCAAGCCUGAACGAGCGAUGCCGCGUGAGUGAAGAAGGCCUUCGGGUCGUAAAGCUCUGUUGCGGGGGAAAAAAGGCAGCAUCAGGAAAUGGGUGCUGACUGAUGGUGCCCCGCCAGAAAGUCACGGCUAACUACGUGCCAGCAGCCGCGGUAAUACGUAGGUGGCGAGCGUUAUCCGGAAUGAUUGGGCGUAAAGGGUGCGCAGGCGGUCCUGCAAGUCUGGAGUGAAACGCAUGAGCUCAACUCAUGCAUGGCUUUGGAAACUGGAGGACUGGAGAGCAGGAGAGGGCGGUGGAACUCCAUGUGUAGCGGUAAAAUGCGUAGAUAUAUGGAAGAACACCAGUGGCGAAGGCGGCCGCCUGGCCUGUUGCUGACGCUGAGGCACGAAAGCGUGGGGAGCAAAUAGGAUUAGAUACCC